rnacentral:misc_RNA from 1 species
GCAUGUGAGUGGUGAUGGAUUUGUAUGCCGCGGUGGGCUCCCUGCUUUUGUGCAGUUGACCACCGAUGCCGCAAGUCUCUUCAAUGGCACUCUGUUUGAAUGGAGAUGCGUGUGUUGCCUGUACAAUCUACCUAGUUCCUUUGGAAAUAGACAUUGUUUACCUCGCUUAUCCACUUCUCAUGUCCUAUGUGAAUGAGGAGUGUCCAUGUCCGUGCACCUUGUGUGUCCUCGAACGAUUGCAUGUCUCAGACCUCUCGUUUCGAGUGGCUCCAGUGUUCACGUGAGUGCUCUUGGAUGCAGUGGAUAUGAAUGUACCAUGGGUCUUCGGACUCUUGGCACAUGAUCGGUUGGCUUUCUUAGUCGCCCUUUGACGGAUGACGGCCUUCCCAUCGGUGCCCCCUUUCCCUUGUGGUAAUGGGUCGGCAUGUUGGGCUUGGCGUCGUAGAGGACGUGCUACC